GAUGAAGAACGUAGCGAAAUGCGAUAAGUAAUGUGAAUUGCAGAAUUCAGUGAAUCAUCGAAUCUUUGAACGCACCUUGCGCCUUUUGGUAUUCCGAAAGGCACACCUGUUUGAGCGUCAUGAAUACCUCAAUCUCCAUCUUUUCUUCGGAUUGAUGGGUGACUUGGAUGUUGAGCCCUGCUGGUAUGCUAUAUCAGCUGGCUUUAAACUUAUUAGCCGGCUCUGUACUGGAUCGGUUUGACUCGACGUGAUAAUAUUAUCGUUGAGGAUGCAUGUCUCAUGCAGCCGGAAAGUAUCAAAGCAGCUUCUAGCUUGUCUUUAGUGCACUUUUACAUUUUAGACCUCAGAUCAGGUGGGACUACCCGCUGAACUUAAGCAUAUCAAUAAGCGGAGGA
rnacentral:misc_RNA from 1 species